CCACAAACAGGAUACUUUGAAGCUGAUAAGGAAAGUAUUUCAGGCAAGUUCAGGAUGAAGUAAUGCAGGUUAGUGCCUUUCAGUAUGAGGAAAUGCAGAUGAGUACAGGAUGAGGCAUUGCAGGUAAGUUCUCUACAGAAUGAAAUCAUGUAGAUAAAAUACAGGAUAUUACCAGGAACAGAGAUUCUUUAUCAGAGCAUAGACUUCAUCUUUAUCAGAGCAUAGACUACAAUGUCAAGGCCCUGUAGUGUGCUGGGAGUAGACUUAUCAAGCCUCCUCAUUAGUUAAUCCCGGUGAAGUUAUUAAAAUGAGUGAAUAGAUUAGUGGCUAGGGAGGCCACUAGAGGAGAAAAUCAUGAAGUUCACUUAAAGGGCAAGUAAUAAACGAAAAAGUCUUACAUGUCAGUUUUGAAACCUGACAGUAUGUGUCUCUGAGUGUAUCAAGGUUUAUGUAUGUGUCACUGUUUGUAUCUAAUUGUGUGUGUGUGUCAGAUACAUAUACAUACACACACACACACACACAC